rfam:Cajanus cajan CcLG01_854, whole genome shotgun sequence.
CUACGGACUUAAUUGGAUUGAGUCUUGGUAUGGAAACUUACCAAGUGAGAACUUUCAAAUUCAGAGAAACCCUGGAAUUCACAAUGGGCAAUCCUGAGCCAAAUCCUGUUUUCCGAAAAGAAAUAAAAGUUUAAAAAGUGAUAAUAAAAAAGGGAUAGGUGCAGAGACUCAAUGGAAGCUGUUCUAACAAAUGGAAAAGAUGUGAAUCAAAUCAAUUCAAAGUUGAAGAAAAGAUGGAAUAUUCAUUGAUCAAAUCAUUCACUCCAUCAUAAUCUGAUAGAUCCUUUGAAGAACUGAUCAAUCAGACGAGAAUAAAGAUAGAGUCCUAUUCUACAUGUCAAUACUGA